rnacentral:rRNA from 1 species
UACGUAGGGUGCAGGCGUUAAUCGGAAUUACUGGGCGUAAAGCGUGCGCAGGCGGUUUCUUAAGUCAGAUGUGAAAGCCCCGGGCUUAACCUGGGAACUGCGUUUGAAACUGGGAGACUUGAGUGUGGCAGAGGGGGGGUGGAAUUCCACGUGUAGCAGUGAAAUGCGUAGAGAUCAGGAGGAACACCCGUGGCGAAGGCGGCCCCCUGGGUCGGCCCUGACGCUGAGGCGCGAAAGCGUGGGGAGCGAACGGG